rnacentral:rRNA from 1 species
GACGAGUGGCGGACGGGUGAGUAAUGUCUGGGAAACUGCCCGAUGGAGGGGGAUAACUACUGGAAACGGUAGCUAAUACCGCAUAACGUCGCAAGACCAAAGUGGGGGACCUUCGGGCCUCACACCAUCGGAUGUGCCCAGAUGGGAUUAGCUAGUAGGUGGGGUAACGGCUCACCUAGGCGACGAUCCCUAGCUGGUCUGAGAGGAUGACCAGCCACACUGGAACUGAGACACGGUCCAGACUCCUACGGGAGGCAGCAGUGGGGAAUAUUGCACAAUGGGCGCAAGCCUGAUGCAGCCAUGCCGCGUGUAUGAAGAAGGCCUUCGGGUUGUAAAGUACUUUCAGCGAGGAGGAAGGCAUUAAGGUUAAUAACCUUAGCGAUUGACGUUACUCGCAGAAGAAGCACCGGCUAACUCCGUGCCAGCAGCCGCGGUAAUACGGAGGGUGCAAGCGUUAAUCGGAAUUACUGGGCGUAAAGCGCACGCAGGCGGUUUGUUAAGUCAGAUGUGAAAUCCCCGGGCUCAACCUGGGAACUGCAUUUGAAACUGGCAAGCUUGAGUCUCGUAGA